GCGGAGCUAUCACUCAUCACCCUGUGACUUACCUAAACGUUGCUUCGGCGGGAAUAGACGGCCCCGUGAAACGGGCCGCCCCCGCCAGAGGACCCUUAACUCUGUUUCUUAUAAUGUUUCUUCUGAGUAAAACAAGCAAAUAAAUUAAAACUUUCAACAACGGAUCUCUUGGCUCUGGCAUCGAUGAAGAACGCAGCGAAAUGCGAUAAGUAAUGUGAAUUGCAGAAUUCAGUGAAUCAUCGAAUCUUUGAACGCACAUUGCGCCCGCCAGUAUUCUGGCGGGCAUGCCUGUUCGAGCGUCAUUACAACCCUCAGGCCCCCGGGCCUGGCGUUGGGGAUCGGCGGAGCGCCCCUCGUGGGCGCACGCCGUCCCCCAAAUACAGUGGCGGUCCCGCCGCAGCUUCCAUCGCGUAGUAGCUAACACCUCGCGAUUGGAGAGCGGCGCGGCCACGCCGUAGAACGCCCAACUCUUCAGAAGUUGACCUCGAAACAGGUAAGAAUACCCGCUGAACUUAAUAAUAUCAUUAAGCGGAGGAAAUUACGAGUUAUUUAUCUCA
rnacentral:rRNA from 1 species